GGUGUACUCAGUGGCAGAGUACUUGCCCAGUAUGCAGGAGUCCUGGGUUCAACCCCCAGCACCA
rnacentral:tRNA from 1 species